rnacentral:lncRNA from 1 species
GGCAGGCGGAUACCAGACCAAGGAGCGAUCACGACCUCACUGCACACCGCCACAUCUUAGGUAAGUCUUUCUCCUCUUCCUCUUCUUCCUUCUUCCUCCUCCACCGCUUCCUCUUCUUCCCUUUUUCUUCCUCCUUCCUCCACCGUCUCUUCCUCUUCUCCCCUUUUUCUUCCUCUCUGAAACACCAGUACUUACAGGUGCAGCAUGUGUCGAUACACUGGUACAGGCUGAUAUGUACCAGCCCGAUGAAUAUCUAAGUCGGAUCCAGUACCUGGUUUGGCAAACCCUGCUUGAAAGUAUAUGUUUGAAAAGAAAUUUUCCUAAUGUAGCAAUCACUAGAAUGUAUCUAUGCCUAAAAACUCUAAAAUCAUGGAAUACUUUUAGCACAAUACAAGCACAGUAUGGAAUUUACUUAAAGUAAAGAUAAAAAUUUGUAGGCACUAGC